rnacentral:rRNA from 1 species
GGUGAACGCUGGCGGCGUGCCUAAUACAUGCAAGUCGAGCGGAAGUUGGAGAGCUUGCUCUUCAACUUUAGCGGCGGACGGGUGAGUAACACGUGGGCAACCUGCCCUGCAGAUCGGGAUAACUCCGGGAAACCGGUGCUAAUACCGAAUAGUUUUCGCCACCUCCUGGUGGCGUACGGAAAGACGGUUUCGGCUGUCACUGCAGGAUGGGCCCGCGGCGCAUUAGCUAGUUGGUGGGGUAACGGCCCACCAAGGCAACGAUGCGUAGCCGACCUGAGAGGGUGAUCGGCCACACUGGGACGAAGACACGGCCCAGACUCCUACGGGAGGCAGCAGUAGGGAAUCUUCCGCAAUGGACGAAAGUCUGACGGAGCAACGCCGCGUGAGUGACGAAGGUUUUCGGAUCGUAAAACUCUGUCGUGAGGGAAGAACAAGUACCAACUAACUACUGGUACCUUGACGGUACCUCACCAGAAAGCCACGGCUAACUACGUGCCAGCCGCCGCGGUAA